rnacentral:piRNA from 1 species
UAUGCCAGGCUAGCUGAUCCAUGAACUCC